rnacentral:rRNA from 1 species
CCCCACUGCUAUCGGGAUAGGACUAAGACAUGCUAGUCGAGUGACUCAGGCAAAACGAGUCACGGCACACAACUCAGUAACACGUGGCUAAUCUGCCCUUGGGACAAGAACAACCCCGGGAAACUGGGGCUAACUCUUGAUAGGCGAAGAACACUGGAAUGUGUCUUCACCCAAAAAACUUCACGUUAUCCUCGUGAAGUCGCCCAAGGAUGAGGCCGCGACCGAUCAGGUUGUUGGCGAGGUAAUGGCUCACCAAGCCUUUUACCGGUGCGGGCCGUGGGAGCGGGAGCCCGGAGAUGGGUACUGAGACAAGGACCCAGGCCCUACGGGGCGCAGCAGUCGCGAAAACUUUGCAAUAAGCGAAAGCUUGACAGGGCUAUCCCGAGUGCCAUCCGCUGAGGAAGGCUUUUACCCAGUCUAGAACGCUGGGGGAAUAAGGAGAGGGCAAGUCUGGUGUCAGCCGCCGCGGUAAUACCAGCUCUCCGAGUGGUGUGGAUGUUUAUUGGGCCUAAAGCAUCCGUAGCUGGCUAAGUUAGUCCCUUGUUAAAUCCACCGAAUUAAUCGUUGGAUUGCGGGGGAUACUGCUUGGCUAGGGGACGAGAGAGGCAGACGGUAUUUUCGGGGUAGGGGUGAAAUCCUAUAAUCCCGGGAAGACCACCAGUGGCGAAGGCUGUCUGCUAGAACGCGCCCGACGGUGAGGGAUGAAAGCUGGGGGAGCGAACCGGAUUAGAUACCCGGGUAGUCCCAGCUGUAAACGAUGCAGGCUAGGUGUUUGGACGGCCACGUGCCGUUCUAGUGCCGCAGGGAAGCUGUUAAGCCUGCCGCCUGGGGAGUACGAUCGCAAGAUUGAAACUUAA